UACGGAGGGAGCUAGCGUUGUUCGGAAUUACUGGGCGUAAAGCGCGCGUAGGCGGCUUUGUAAGUUAGAGGUGAAAGCCCGGGGCUCAACCCCGGAACUGCCUUUAAAACUGCAUCGCUUGAAUCCGGGAGAGGUGAGUGGAAUUCCGAGUGUAGAGGUGAAAUUCGUAGAUAUUGGGAAGAACACCGGUGGCGAAGGCGGCGACCUGGUCCGAUACUGACGCUGAGGCGCGAAAGCGUGGGGAGCAAACAGG
rnacentral:rRNA from 1 species